GACGAACGCUGGCGGCGUGCCUAAUACAUGCAAGUUGAGCGAUGAAGAUUGGUGCUUGCACCAAUUUGAAGAGCAGCGAACGGGUGAGUAACGCGUGGGGAAUCUGCCUUUGAGCGGGGGACAACAUUUGGAAACGAAUGCUAAUACCGCAUAACAACUUUAAACAUAAGUUUUAAGUUUGAAAGAUGCAAUUGCAUCACUCAAAGAUGAUCCCGCGUUGUAUUAGCUAGUUGGUGAGGUAAAGGCUCACCAAGGCGAUGAUACAUAGCCGACCUGAGAGGGGGGUCGGCCACAUUGGGACUGGGACACGGCCCAAACUCCUACGGGAGGCAGCAGUAGGGAAUCUUCGGCAAUGGACGAAAGUCUGACCGAGCAACGCCGCGUGAGUGAAUAAGGUUUUCGGAUCGUAAAACUCUGUUGGUAGAGAAGAACGUUGGUGAGAGUGGAAAGCUCAUCAAGUGACGGUAACUACCCAGAAAGGGACGGCUAACUACGUG
rnacentral:rRNA from 1 species